ensembl:snRNA U6 U6 spliceosomal RNA
GUCUGACAUCAGUAGAACAUAUACUAAAAUUGAAACGAUACAGAGAAGAUUAGCAUGGCCCCUGCACAAGGAUAACACACAAAUUCAUGAAGUGUUCCAUCAGUAG